GCAACAGCUCAAAUUUGAAAUCUGGCUUCGGCCGAGUUGUAAUUUGCAGAGGAAGCUUUGGGCGCGGCGCGUCUGAGUCCCCUGGAACGGGCGCCAAAGAGGGUGAGAGCCCGUAGAGACGGAUGCCUAGCCUGUGUAAAGCUCCUUCGACGAGUCGAGUAGUUUGGGAAUGCUGCUCAAAAUGGGAGGUAAAUUUCUUCUAAAGCUAAAUACCGGCCAGAGACCGAUAGCGCACAA
rnacentral:rRNA from 1 species